rnacentral:rRNA from 1 species
CCUACGGGAGGCAGCAGUGGGGAAUCUUGCGCAAUGCGCGAAAGCGUGACGCAGCAACGCCGCGUGAGGGAAGACGGCCUUCGGGUUGUAAACCUCUUUCAGUUGGGACGAAGCCUCUGCGGUUAAUACCCGUAUGAGGUGACGGUACCUUCAGAAGAAGCCCCGGCUAACUACGUGCCAGCAGCCGCGGUAAUACGUAGGGGGCAAGCGUUGUCCGGAAUCAUUGGGCGUAAAGCGCGUGUAGGCGGCUUGGUAAGUCCGCUCUGAAAGCCCGGGGCUCAACCCCGGGAGGCGGGUGGAUACUGUCAAGCUCGAGUCCGGAAGAGGCGAGUGGAAUUCCUGGUGUAGCGGUGAAAUGCGCAGAUAUCAGGAGGAACACCAAUGGCGAAGGCAGCUCGCUGGGACGCGACUGACGCUGAGACGCGAAAGCGUGGGGAAGCAAACAGGAUUAGAUACCCUGGUAGUCCACGCCGUAAACGAUGGGCACUAGGUGUGGGAGGUGUCGACUCCUCCCGUGCCGAAGCUAACGCAUUAAGUGCCCCGCCUGGGGAGUACGGCCGCAAAGGCUAAAAACGUCAAAAGUAUAGUAGGACCGNGAGAGACGCGACGACGACGACGACGGAGGAGG